UAGGGAAUCUUCCACAAUGGGCGAAAGCCUGAUGGAGCAACGCCGCGUGAGUGAAGAAGGUUUUCGGAUCGUAAAACUCUGUUGUAAGGGAAGAACAAGUACAGUAGUAACUGGCUGUACCUUGACGGUACCUUAUUAGAAAGCCACGGCUAACUACGUGCCAGCAGCCGCGGUAAUACGUAGGUGGCAAGCGUUGUCCGGAAUUAUUGGGCGUAAAGCGCGCGCAGGCGGUCCUUUAAGUCUGAUAUGAAAGCCCACGGCUCAACCGUGGAGGGUCAUUGGAAACUGGAGGACUUGAGUGCAGAAGAGGAAAGUGGAAUUCCAAGUGUAGCGGUGAAAUGCGUAGAGAUUUGGAGGAACACCAGUGGCGAAGGCGACUUUCUGGUCUGUAACUGACGCUGAGGCGCGGAAGCGUGGGGAGCAAACAGGAUUAGAUACCCUGGUAGUCCACGCCGUAAACGAUGAGUGCUAAGUGUUAGGGGGUUUCCGCCCCUUAGUGCUGCAGCUAACGCAUUAAGCACUCCGCCUGGGGAGUACGGUCGCAAGACUGA
rnacentral:rRNA from 1 species